GCGGGGCCCCCCCGAGAUCUUUACCUGUGCUCUGACUUUGCUAAGGGCUAUGUAUAGCAAUGUCAGAGCACAGGUAAAGAUCUCGGGGGCCCCG
rnacentral:sRNA from 1 species